GGGUUUUUCUCUGUAUCUAUUAUUGUAGGAUAUACUGUACAAUAUAAAGUGCCUUGAGGCGCCUUGAGGCGACUGUUGUUGUGAUUUGGCGCUAUAUAGAUAAAAUUGAAUUGAAUUGAAUUGUGCACGCAGAAAAAGGUUUAUUUAGAGCAACAGGUGGGAUAUAUAUAUGCAUACAGUGAAUGUGAGGAGUGAGCUCCAGGGAUUCCAAGGGAAGGUCCAGGGCUGGGGGUAAACUCUCUUAAACUCCUUUUCACUCAGCCCGUGAUACGAAACACACUCGGUCCAAAAUCCACACCAUGCCUUACUCACACUCUAGCUCAUCCAGGAGAGGCAAGCGGGGGUCCAGGAAGGUCUGUAUGAAUAAGAUGGAGAACAACAGUUAGGAAGUGAACCAGGGAAGACAGGAAAGAUACCCCAGAAAGCACCAGGGCUACACUACCUGAAUAAAUACAACGAUCCAGCGAGGAUCAACACUCCACCGGGCCCUUAAGUAUUGCCUGAAUCAGUCAGCAGAGAUUAGCAGCAGGUAAGUAGUGCAUGACAUUUCCAAACAUACCAAAACACAAUAAAGUGUCAUCCUGCAAAAACAGCACAGUAGGUGCCUUUCACAGCGUACACAGUACUGUCCUGGUGUUGUUUCUGAAAGAAAAAGUUUUUAUACAACGUUAAUUUAGCAUAACCAGAAACAAGCUCACUUGUACCUUUGACACAUUUUAAGCAACAUAUCUGUCUCUCACUUUCCUUCUUCCUUUUGUUUUCCUGUCAGUCAUUUUUUUACCUUGGAAGGCAGUUUCACAGGUUCCCUGGGUGUGGUCUCACAGUUGGAUAACUGAUAAUAUAAUAGAUAAUGAUUGUUUUGUUCUCACAUCCUCUCGGAAGAGAUACGCUCUCUGCCAAUUUCUAAAGACAGUGGCACUUCCAGGAUGUUCUGCCUGUGGAUAUGUUUGAGUGUGUUUUGUGCUUUACCAAGCACUGUAUCAUCAGAUCAAGGCGUGUCACUGACGUGUAACGAGGCUGUCAACGUUACCGCUGGAGAAAAUGUGAUUCUAACCUGUUUCAUAAAUUGGAUUUUAGAAGGAGAAGACUGUGUUGGUCACAGUUAUGUCUGGCGUAACACAAAUGGCACCAAACUCUGUGACAAUGGCGUAAAAUACGGCUGUAAAUGGAAUAAUUAUACCUAUGUGUCACUGACCAUCUUAGAUGUGAUAGAAAAGGACGUUGUCACAGUUGAAAUCUCGACAACCUGUGGUAUGGAGAAAUCCCGUCCUAUUAGAGUACAGCCAAUCAGCAGUGAACCAGCUGUAUCAGAUCGGUUGCAGGAGGAGUCAGCACAUGCUGCAACCACUGCGCUUUGUGUUUUUGCCUCUGCUGCUGUUGUUGUGGUCAUUUUGUGUUUCCUAUAUAGAAAAUACAGAUGCAGAGUGAGAGGACAGUGACAUAGACUGCACCAGGGAGUACAGACGGACAAAUUCAGAUUGUUUUUAUCAGUGAACGGGUGGAUAUGAAUGUGUAAGCUGUUUGUGAAAGCUAGUGCUCACCAUUGAUGACUCUGCUCCUAAACCGUCCUGUUGUCAUCAUUUUUUUGUCAUCCGUUUCAUUUUUAGUCUUUCAUGAAAUUCUUUCUUGUGUUUAUGCUGACUGAGCAACAUUCACAUGAGGAUUUUAUGUGAUUAACAGAGCGCUCUACAUGACUUUCAGUCAUGUCAUAUAGUUAAAAGAGGAAAAUGAUGAUGAACCAGCAUUGAUGUAGAUGUUGCACUGUGCAGUAAAGACUCUAUGUUGGGAAUUUUUUUUAACUUUCUGCCUUUAGUCUCUUAUGUCUAAACACUGGCACGGUGUUCUUGCUUCUCUGUUUCUAAAUUAGGUUUAAUUGCAUUUGCAAGAAACUUUUUUUUCUUUUAAGUUCUUCCUUUUUGCACAGUGUUGACAUGAAUUUAUUUCCAUUUACACUUCUUCACUUAGACCGUUUUAAAAUAUUCACUUAUAUCAUAUGAUUUUGAUUCAGCGUGGACCUUCACAUAUUUAAUUCUGGCUCAGCAAAGCGUGAACCAUGGAACUGUGAAGUUUAGUAGGUCAUUCUUACUUUUAACCACUUGGGAAAGCUGUCUGUAUUUGAACAGCCUGUGGCUCUGAAACUGAUGACCUGAACCUGUGGAAACUGAAGGAAUUUGAGGAGUUUAAUGAUUCAGAAUCUUAGUAGUCUAAUAUGAGAGUAUUUCAAAUUCCGUGUGACGGGAUCAUACCAAAAGAGUAGGGUCUCAGACCUCAAAGUUUGCAGGUGACACUAUUGUGUUUGGAGUCAUUGCUGACAGGAAUAAAUCAGCCUAUAGGUGUUAGGUGGAGCAGCUGUCCAGGUGGUGCAAAGACAACAACUUGGUCUUGUCCUCAGACAGAUGAUUCAAGCCUAUGAAACAAGGAUCAACCUGUGAAAGAACAGGUUAGAUUCUGAAGCAAUUAUGUCAGUUAAUGCUGAGUAAAGCACUCAGGCCGCAGUUUUCAACAGCAACAGGAAGGGAAUGUGCAAUAUGUUGAAAGACAAGUGCACCAGAUGAUUUCACUUACUAUCAAAAAGAAAGAGGUUAUGUUUUUGUUGGCAUUUGUGUGCAUACAGGCAUGUUAUCUUUCUUUAUCUGACAAAAACUUUGUAGGUGUGUCGAGCUGGGUCAUGUUAAUGAUUUGGCUUAAAAUUUGGCUUACAUCCAGCAAGAUCUUCAAGGUCAACUUUAAUGAUUUAUAGGUUGAAAAUUUACAAAAAGAUUGUUAACUUAGAAACUAUCAUUCUUUUAAGUGUGAUGUAAAUUGGUAACAUAUAGAAAGUACUGUAUAAAGAUGUAAAAUAUCAGGUCACAUUUGCCCCUCCAUGAGUCUCCGUUUUACCAUGGUGCAGAGGUUUGUGUGCCAGGGGCUAGGUUUAGUUUAAAAUGAAUUGUUUUGUGCUGUAAUUCUGUAUCUAUUUAUACUCUCGUUAGUUCCUUUUCCUUAUUUUGUGCUUGUAUUUCCCGCACUGAAUACUCUCACCUUUGUUAUCAUUCACACAUUUUGAAUUACUGCUCACUUGCCAGAUGUGUUUCUUGUAGUGAAGUAUUUUGGGGGCGAUUUUUAGUUCUUUCUCUUGUCACUCCUUAUGUUGACUUCCUCCUGUGCAACCUUUUGAAGUGUUUUUAGAUUUUGGCUUGGCUGUUUAUUGGAUGCCUUCAUGUGCAUAACCACUGCCUGUUUUGGAAAUACAGAUUUUUAUUGGUGGACUUUAAGUCUGUGGACAUCUUUAGACUACUCCUGCUACCACUGCUACAAAAAUAACUAUUUAAAACAUUUUUUAGUAAUUAAUCCCAACGUUUAUAUCUUUUUUUAUUUAAAAAAAAAUAAAUAAUCAGUAGCAACUUUU